rnacentral:rRNA from 1 species
GAUGAACGCUAGCGGCAGGCCUAACACAUGCAAGUCGAGGGGUAACAAUGUCUUCGGACAGGCGACGACCGGCGCACGGGUGAGUAUCGCGUUUGUAACCUACCUUUAACUGGAGAAUAGCCCGAAGAAAUUCGGAUUAAUACUCCAUAAUACUAUGAACUGGCAUCUUUUUAUAGUUAAAGCUCCGGCGGUUAAAGAUGGGCAUGCGUAACAUUAGAUAGUUGGUGAGGUAACGGCUCACCAAGUCUACGAUGUUUAGGGGGUCUGAGAGGAUGGUCCCCCACACUGGUACUGAGACACGGACCAGACUCCUACGGGAGGCAGCAGUGAGGAAUAUUGGUCAAUGGGCGCAAGCCUGAACCAGCCAUGCCGCGUGAAGGAUGACGGCCCUAUGGGUUGUAAACUUCUUUUGUACGGGAAGAAACCCUCUUACGUGUAAGAGUUUGACGGUACCGUACGAAUAAGCAUCGGCUAACUCCGUGCCAGCAGCCGCGGUAAUACGGAGGAUGCAAGCGUUAUCCGGAUUUAUUGGGUUUAAAGGGUACGUAGGCGGAAACUUAAGUCAGUAGUGAAAUCCCGCAGCUUAACUGUGGAACUGUUAUUGAUACUGGGUUUCUUGAAUAUUGUUGAGGUAGGCGGAAUAAGUAAUGUAGCGGUGAAAUGCUUAGAUAUUACUUAGAACACCGAUUGCGAAGGCAGCUUACUAAGCAAUGAUCGACGCUGAGGUACGAAAGCGUGGGGGAGCGAACAGGAUUAGAUACCCUGGUAGUCCACGCCGUAAACGAUGAUCACUCGUUGUU